UCCAUCUUGCUGCCGUGAGCUGCUCCUCUUCCUUUCCAUCUUUUUCUUCGUGCGACACCUCCAACAGAAACUGAAGAAGACCAAGUUGCUCCCUUCGAAAAUUUUCCUUCGUCCGCCAGCUGAACCGAAGACCAAUCCACCGAGAUUUUGGUCAGUCUCGGCAAGAUUGUUGACCGCGUGCAGCUCCACUACUUCGUGUCUCCUCCAGCAGCGUUGAAGACUUACCGAAGCUGCUCCUCACGUCCGCGUCUUCAACUUCGGUCCAAAGCCAGUGAAGCAGCGCCGAACGAAGCCGCCACUGCCUCCUGCACCCACGCAUCCAACCGAAGACUACAAGCUUCUUCGUGUCUUCAAUUUGCUGGUCAACAUCUCCUUCCACUGAAGAAGCCGCACGUCCGAGGACUUCAGCGACUUGAAGACCCUAGCGAAGACCACUCAUCUUCAGUCUUCCUUCGUGCCUUCAAAUCAGUUCACCGAAGGCAGCAUCAACCGGUCAACUGACCGAAUACCACACGACCAGCUGCCCCGAAGGUUUCCACGAAGCCAGUGGUUGAUCACCCUUCGCAACUUCUCUCUCUAUCUCUUGCGGAUCGUCCCCAACAGCGUCCCAGUUCGGCCACGAAUCCGCACGCCCCUGCUCCACCGCUUCUUGCCGUUUGUUGACUGAAGACCUUCAACCCUCCACGCGUCCGAGUCCGUUCUUGGCUCGGUCAACAGCGGCAGCAACCGAAGCUGCUUGGUUGACCGCAAAAGCCCCACCCGUGCACAGAUCCGUCGCCAGCAGCUGCUUCUCACGUUCCCUCUCUAGCACCAUCACCGACGCUGCUUCAGUCUUCUUGUUCGGGGCCCAGCUCGUGCAAGUAGCUCCUUUGGGCCACCGAAACCAGCAGUCCCACGAAGCUUCUGCACAAGCCCCGCAAGUCAGCCCAGUCGAAUCUCACCAGUAGCAGCCCAUCAGCAGAAUUUUAUUGAGGCCCAUCUCCUGCAGUCUUCAAGCCCAGUCCAAUCCAAGUGAAUUAAUUGGUCAAGCCCAUUUCAGCAGGCCCAAUCCAACUUGGGUCUGGCCCAAAAGCAAGAACAAAUCUCAGUUGGGCUGAGAUUUGUUGGGCCAAGCCUAAGGCCCGGUCCAAGUCCGCCGGUGUCGUCGAAAGUCCUAUUUCGGCCGCCGUCGCGUCGCCGAUGCAGUGAUUCGGUCUCCGCUUUUGUCAAGUGAGUUUUACUCACUAAAGCUUUAUUAGUUUGCUAAUUAUACUUAAGGUUGGUUAGAUUUAAUUAAAUGCAAUUAGGUGGUUAGAUUAGUUUAGAUCAAUUAAAUUAGAGACUUAAUGAUGCAUGUUAGGUGGUUAGAAAUAGACAUUAGCAAGUAGACAUGCCAUGUUAUUUAUGGAGCGAGUCUCGGUAAUUUUUCGGGCUUGUCUCGGUAUCCAAUUCGGCAUUAUGAGCCUAAAUUGGAUUUUUAUAAUUAUUUAUUUAAUUUUCGAAAUUAAUUAUUUAAUUAUUUAUUUUUCCGGAAAUUCAACCAGGAUGGCCGGUGACUGGAAUUUCGUGCUGAUUGUCGUGGUGCAGUCCGUUUAUUUAUUUGAGCUUUAUUUGGUGCUAAAGUAAUUUAUGAGUGAAUUUAAGAUUUAUUCUUGAAUUGAAUCUUGAGAGGGUCGGGUGGGACCGUAAAGCCACUAGUUCUUGAGAGGGUCGGGUGGGACCGUAAAGCCAUUAGUUCUUGAAAGGGUCCGACUGAUGCGAAAUCGACUAGGUCGAUUCGAUCGAUGCUUCGAUCGGUGAUGUGAUUGUUUGAAUGCCUAUUGAACUGUACUAAUAUGCAGAUGGAAUUUGAGGCCAAGGUAAGUCCUCCAACUCGUGCCGUGUUUAGGCAGCCUAUAGUGUAUUGGCUUUCUAAUCGAGUCUUAGGGGGUAGGACUCGCUGAGACGUGGUCUCAUUGGUUAUUGAAUAACCAUUUCAGGACCCUAAGGAGAAGCUAAGGAAGAGGAACCUGAAGGGGAGAAAGACUUUUGAAGAAGAAGACGAUCCUGAGAGGGAUCUUGAAUAUAACCUGGAUGUGGACUGAGAUCCCAUCCCUUUUGUAAAC
rnacentral:lncRNA from 1 species